AUAUAAAACAAAGAAAAUAAAAGGAAAAGAAAGAUAGAAAAGAACAGAGAAGCUCACGAAACAGAGAAAGAAAGGAAAGGAAGAAAGAAAAAGGAAAAAUUGGAGAAUUGAAGCUUGAAAGUUGAAUUGUUAACAAAGAACCCAAGACAUUGGCGCACAAAGGAAAGGAGAAAGCUAUCGAGGAUUAAAACGAGAAAUUCACGGUUAAUAGGAGUCUAGUAUCCCGGUCAGCAUCUGAACGAUCCCGACUCCAACAAAUUUUGGGUGAUGUUUUCUUUCCUAAUUGAAAGUGGCAUGUACUAGGUGUUGUAUAAGUUAUAUGGAUAUGCUUGUAAUGUUAGUUGUAAGAAAGGUAUACCAUAUUUUGUUAUUAGUUUGAUAAAAUGGUAAAUAUUAUAUUAUAUAAUUUGGUAUAAGUUGGAAUGAAAAAUAAAUGAAGUUAUUAGUUAAUUUAGAUUAA